UACGUAGGGGGCAAGCGUUGUCCGGAAUCAUUGGGCGUAAAGCGCGUGUAGGCGGUUUCGUAAGUCUGCUGUGAAAGUCGGAGGCUCAACCUUCGAAUGCCAGUGGAUACUGCGAGACUUGAGUACGGAAGAGGAGAGUGGAAUUCCUGGUGUAGCGGUGAAAUGCGCAGAUAUCAGGAGGAACACCAACGGCGAAGGCAGCUCUCUGGGACGUUACUGACGCUGAGACGCGAAAGCGUGGGGAGCAAACAGG
rnacentral:rRNA from 1 species